AAUGGGUCAGCGACUUAUAUUCUGUAGCAAGGUUAACCGAAUAGGGGAGCCGAAGGGAAACCGAGUCUUAACUGGGCGUUAAGUUGCAGGGUAUAGACCCGAAACCCGGUGAUCUAGCCAUGGGCAGGUUGAAGGUUGGGUAACACUAACUGGAGGACCGAACCGACUAAUGUUGAAAAAUUAGCGGAUGACUUGUGGCUGGGGGUGAAAGGCCAAUCAAACCGGGAGAUAGCUGGUUCUCCCCGAAAGCUAUUUAGGUAGCGCCUCGUGAAUUCAUCUCCGGGGGUAGAGCACUGUUUCGGCAAGGGGGUCAUCCCGACUUACCAACCCGAUGCAAACUGCGAAUACCGGAGAAUGUUAUCACGGGAGACACACGGCGGGUGCUAACGUCCGUCGUGAAGAGGGAAACAACCCAGACCGCCAGCUAAGGUCCCAAAGUCAUGGUUAAGUGGGAAACGAUGUGGGAAGGCCCAGACAGCCAGGAUGUUGGCUUAGAAGCAGCCAUCAUUUAAAGAAAGCGUAAUAGCUCACUGGUCGAGUCGGCCUGCGCGGAAGAUGUAACGGGGCUAAACCAUGCACCGAAGCUGCGGCAGCGACGCUUAUGCGUUGUUGGGUAGGGGAGCGUUCUGUAAGCCUGUGAAGGUGUGCUGUGAGGCAUGCUGGAGGUAUCAGAAGUGCGAAUGCUGACAUAAGUAACGAUAAAGCGGGUGAAAAGCCCGCUCGCCGGAAGACCAAGGGUUCCUGUCCAACGUUAAUCGGGGCAGGGUGAGUCGACCCCUAAGGCGAGGCCGAAAGGCGUAGUCGAUGGGAAACAGGUUAAUAUUCCUGUACUUGGUGUUACUGCGAAGGGGGGACGGAGAAGGCUAUGUUGGCCGGGCGACGGUUGUCCCGGUUUAAGCGUGUAGGCUGGUUUUCCAGGCAAAUCCGGAAAAUCAAGGCUGAGGCGUGAUGACGAGGCACUACGGUGCUGAAGCAACAAAUGCCCUGCUUCCAGGAAAAGCCUCUAAGCAUCAGGUAACAUCAAAUCGUACCCCAAACCGACACAGGUGGUCAGGUAGAGAAUACCAAGGCGCUUGAGAGAACUCGGGUGAAGGAACUAGGCAAAAUGGUGCCGUAACUUCGGGAGAAGGCACGCUGAUAUGUAGGUGAAGUCCCUUGCGGAUGGAGCUGAAAUCAGUCGAAGAUACCAGCUGGCUGCAACUGUUUAUUAAAAACACAGCACUGUGCAAACACGAAAGUGGACGUAUACGGUGUGACGCCUGCCCGGUGCCGGAAGGUUAAUUGAUGGGGUCAGCGCAAGCGAAGCUCUUGAUCGAAGCCCCGGUAAACGGCGGCCGUAACUAUAACGGUCCUAAGGUAGCGAAAUUCCUUGUCGGGUAAGUUCCGACCUGCACGAAUGGCGUAAUGAUGGCCAGGCUGUCUCCACCCGAGACUCAGUGAAAUUGAACUCGCUGUGAAGAUGCAGUGUACCCGCGGCAAGACGGAAAGACCCCGUGAACCUUUACUAUAGCUUGACACUGAACAUUGAGCCUUGAUGUGUAGGAUAGGUGGGAGGCUUAGAAGUGUGGACGCCAGUCUGCAUGGAGCCGACCUUGAAAUACCACCCUUUAAUGUUUGAUGUUCUAACGUUGACCCGUAAUCCGGGUUGCGGACAGUGUCUGGUGGGUAGUUUGACUGGGGCGGUCUCCUCCUAAAGAGUAACGGAGGAGCACGAAGGUUGGCUAAUCCUGGUCGGACAUCAGGAGGUUAGUGCAAUGGCAUAAGCCAGCUUGACUGCGAGCGUGACGGCGCGAGCAGGUGCGAAAGCAGGUCAUAGUGAUCCGGUGGUUCUGAAUGGAAGGGCCAUCGCUCAACGGAUAAAAGGUACUCCGGGGAUAACAGGCUGAUACCGCCCAAGAGUUCAUAUCGACGGCGGUGUUUGGCACCUCGAUGUCGGCUCAUCACAUCCUGGGGCUGAAGUAGGUCCCAAGGGUAUGGCUGUUCGCCAUUUAAAGUGGUACGCGAGCUGGGUUUAGAACGUCGUGAGACAGUUCGGUCCCUAUCUGCCGUGGGCGCUGGAGAACUGAGGGGGGCUGCUCCUAGUACGAGAGGACCGGAGUGGACGCAUCACUGGUGUUCGGGUUGUCAUGCCAAUGGCACUGCCCGGUAGCUAAAUGCGGAAGAGAUAAGUGCUGAAAGCAUCUAAGCACGAAACUUGCCCCGAGAUGAGUUCUCCCUGACCCUUUAAGGGUCCUGAAGGAACGUUGAAGACGACGACGUUGAUAGGCCGGGUGUGUAAGCGCAGCGAUGCGUUGAGCUAACCGGUACUAAUGAACCGUGAGGCUUAACCUU
rnacentral:rRNA from 1 species